rnacentral:rRNA from 1 species
CAAGUACCGCGAGGGAAAGAUGACAAGCACUUUGAAAAGAGGGUGAAAAGAGCCUGAAACCGUUACAGGGGAAGCGGAUUGCGUUGGAUUGAGUGUUGAGAAUCGUAUUCAGCCAUUACGGUGUACUUACGAUUCGCGGCCAUCUGUCGUGGCUUUUUUGCAGCUGAUUUUGAGCUGCGGGAGAGUGAGGGAUCCCCUUUAUGGGUGAGGACGACAGAGCGACGACGCGAUACGACCCGUCUUGAAACACGGACCAAGGAGUCUAGCACUACUGCGAGUCAAAGGGUGUAAAAACCUGUGGGCGCAGUGAAAGCAAUCUGUAAAAACGAGCAGUUUGAGGCGGCAUAAAAUCGUUGAUUUUAGGUCUGACCUUGAGCAGUUGUGCUGGGACCCGAAAGAUGGUGAACUAUGCCUGAGUAGGGCAAAGCCAGAAGAAAUUCUGGUGGAGGCUCGUAGCGGUGCUGACGUGCAAAUCGCUCGUCGAACUUGGGUAUAGGGGCGAAAGACUCAUCGAACCAUCUAGUAGCUGGUUCCCUCCGAAGUUUCUCUCAGGAUAGCAGGCC